rnacentral:rRNA from 1 species
GAUGAACGCUGGCGGCGUGCCUAAUACAUGCAAGUCGAGCGAACAGAUAAGGAGCUUGCUCCUUUGACGUUAGCGGCGGACGGGUGAGUAACACGUGGGUAACCUACCUAUAAGACUGGAAUAACUCCGGGAAACCGGGGCUAAUGCCGGAUAACAUUUAGAACCGCAUGGUUCUAAAGUGAAAGAUGGUUUUGCUAUCACUUAUAGAUGGACCCGCGCCGUAUUAGCUAGUUGGUAAGGUAACGGCUUACCAAGGCAACGAUACGUAGCCGACCUGAGAGGGUGAUCGGCCACACUGGAACUGAGACACGGUCCAGACUCCUACGGGAGGCAGCAGUAGGGAAUCUUCCGCAAUGGGCGAAAGCCUGACGGAGCAACGCCGCGUGAGUGAUGAAGGUCUUCGGAUCGUAAAACUCUGUUAUUAGGGAAGAAUAAAUGUGUAAGUAACUGUGCACGUCUUGACGGUACCUAAUCAGAAAGCCACGGCUAACUACGUG